GACGAACGCUGGCGGCGUGCUUAACACAUGCAAGUCGAACGGAAAGGCCCUGCUUUUGUGGGGUGCUCGAGUGGCGAACGGGUGAGUAACACGUGAGUAACCUGCCCUUGACUUUGGGAUAACUUCAGGAAACUGGGGCUAAUACCGGAUAGGAGCUCCUGCUGCAUGGUGGGGGUUUGAAAGUUUCGGCGGUUGGGGAUGGACUCGCGGCUUAUCAGCCUGUUGGUGGGGUAGUGGCUUACCAAGGCUUUGACGGGUAGCCGGCCUGAGAGGGUGACCGGCAACAUUGGGAAUGAGAUAAGGCCCAGAAUCCUACGGGAGGAAGCAGUGGGGAAUAUUGCACAAUGGGCGGAAGCCGGAUGCAGCAACGCCGCGUGGGGGAUGAAGGCCGUCGGGUUGUAAACCGCUUUCGCCUGUGACGAAGCGUGAGUGACGGUAAUGGGUAAAGAAGCACCGGCUAACUACGUG
rnacentral:rRNA from 1 species